rnacentral:rRNA from 1 species
ACGAACGCUGGCGGCGUGCCUAAUACAUGCAAGUCGAACGCACUCUCGUUUAGAUUGAAGGAGUUUGCUCCUGAUUGAUAAACAUUUGAGUGAGUGGCGGACGGGUGAGUAACACGUGGGUAACCUGCCCUAAAGUGGGGGAUAACAUUUGGAAACAGAUGCUAAUACCGCAUAAAACCUAACACCGCAUGGUGUAGGGUUGAAAGAUGGUUUCGGCUAUCACUUUAGGAUGGACCCGCGGUGCAUUAGUUAGUUGGUGAGGUAAAGGCUCACCAAGACCGUGAUGCAUAGCCGACCUGAGAGGGUAAUCGGCCACACUGGGACUGAGACACGGCCCAGACUCCUACGGGAGGCAGCAGUAGGGAAUCUUCCACAAUGGACGAAAGUCUGAUGGAGCAACGCCGCGUGAGUGAAGAAGGUUUUCGGAUCGUAAAACUCUGUUGUUGGAGAAGAAUGUAUCCGAUAGUAACUGAUCAGGUAGUGACGGUAUCCAACCAGAAAGCCACGGCUAACUACGUG